AUGCAGAAACCUUAUGAUGAUGUUGAAGCACUUCUGCACCUGUCUCCAGUUUCUGCCAUGUCGCUCCUGGAUGGGGUAACCAUUGAAGGGGGUACUGCACUGCAUGUGGCGGCCGCAUAUGGUGAGAGUGAUGGCUUCCUGUCGAGCGCUGACAUCAUCCGUAGUAAGGCGAAGCGCCUCCUGUUUGUGCAAAACAAGAGCGGCGACACGCCCCUGCACUGUGCUGCACAGGCAGGGAUGUCCCGAAUGGUCCGUCAUCUCAUUACUCUGGCCAGAGAAGAGAAUACAGGUGUUAACAGAGCAAAGGAACUCCUUGAAAUGGAAAACAAGCUCAAGGAGACAGCACUGCAUCAAGCAGUCCGCAUUGGAAAUAAUGAUAUAGUCAAGCUGCUAAUGGAGCACUCAGAGUUGGCCAUUUUUUCGAAAGACGGCACUUCGCCUCUGUACCUGGCCAUCUUGCUGGAAGAAGACAUCAUUGUUGAGACACUUUUUAAUGCAAGUCACAAGGAGCUUUCCUAUUCUAGGCAAAAUGGACAGAAUGUGUUGCAUGCUGCGUUUCUCCGAGGU
rnacentral:rRNA from 1 species